UACAGAGGGUGCGAGCGUUAAUCGGAGUUACUGGGCGUAAAGGGCGCGUAGGCGGUUGUUUAAGAUUGAUGUGAAAUCCCUGGGCUUAACCUAGGAAGUGCAUCGAUGACUGGACAGCUAGAGUAUUGUAGAGGGUGGCGGAAUUUCCGGUGUAGCGGUGAAAUGCGUAGAGAUCGGAAAGAACACCAGUGGCGAAGGCGGCCACCUGGACAAAUACUGACGCUGAGGCGCGAAAGCGUGGGGAGCAAACAGG
rnacentral:rRNA from 1 species